AUUGAACGCUGGCGGCAGGCCUAACACAUGCCAGUCGAGCGGAUGAAGGGAGCUUGCUCCUGAAUUCAGCGGCGGACGGGUGAGUAAUGCCUAGGAAUCUGCCUGGUAGUGGGGGAUAACGUCCGGAAACGGGCGCUAAUACCGCAUACGUCCUGAGGGAGAAAGUGGGGGAUCUUCGGACCUCACGCUAUCAGAUGAGCCUAGGUCGGAUUAGCUAGUUGGUGGGGUAAAGGCCUACCAAGGCGACGAUCCGUAACUGGUCUGAGAGGAUGAUCAGUCACACUGGAACUGAGACACGGUCCAGACUCCUACGGGAGGCAGCAGUGGGGAAUAUUGGACAAUGGGCGAAAGCCUGAUCCAGCCAUGCCGCGUGUGUGAAGAAGGUCUUCGGAUUGUAAAGCACUUUAAGUUGGGAGGAAGGGCAGUAAGUUAAUACCUUGCUGUUUUGACGUUACCAACAGAAUAAGCACCGGCUAACUUCGUG
rnacentral:rRNA from 1 species